UUUCCGUAGGUGAACCUGCGGAAGGAUCAUUAUUGUAUAACCGAGGUGCGAGGGCUGUCGCUGACCCGAAAGGUCGUGCACGCCCGAGCGCUCUCACACACAUCCAUCUCACCCCUAUGUGCACCACCGCGUGGGUCCCCCUUUGGCUUGUUCGGAGGGGGGCUUACGUUUUCACACAAACUUUGUAUGCAGUGUAGAAUGUAUUUUUUGUUUUUGCGUUCACGCAAUCAAUACAACUUUCAACAACGGAUCUCUUGGCUCUC
rnacentral:misc_RNA from 1 species